rnacentral:lncRNA from 1 species
CAGUCCACAGUACCUUAUGUUAUGAGUGUGUCUCUUUAAAUGAAGAAUGGUGCACAGAAUACUUUGACGAUUCUUUAUCUUACCAUAAGAAUAUCAUCAAUUGUACGGGUAACUGUAUGAAGCUGAUUGCUCACGUUGAUAAGGAAAAAGGUAUGUUUACUAUAACAAUAUCAGCAAUUGUACGGGUAACUGCACGAAGUUGAUUGAUCACGUUGAUAAGGAAAAAGGUAUGUUUACCAUAACAAUAUCAUCAAUUGUAUGGGUAACUGCAUGAAGCUGAUUGCUCACGUUGAUAAGGAAAAAGGUAUGCUUAGCAUUGAAAUGAAGUUUACUAGAUUUUCUGCAUGUACGAUUUAUAGAAGUUCUGUAAUUUGUUUAGUAUAUUUUUUUCUGGUAUCACAUAAGUUGAACAUUUGUAUACAAUUCUUUUAUGUCAUAUAAUUACAUUAGAUGUAUGUUUCAUUAUAAUACUUAAUUUUGAUUGGCUAACUGCACAUCACGUGUUAUUCCUUAAGCAAUUGCAUUACUCAAUAAAACUUAUUAUUUAUGAUAACACGUAGUCCCACAAUAAAGUGCACAGGUGAAUUAAAUAAAACAAUUAUAAAAUUCGUGUUUUCAUGAUCAUUGCUAAAAAAAUGUAAUUAUAAGUAUUGAAUGCUUCUUUUUGUAAUUUCAUAGGGGUGUAAAAGCGUUGACCGUGCGCACAUUUUCAGAAUGAAGCGCUUCCGCGCUUCAUACAAAAUGUACUUCGGUCAACGCUUUCACACCCAAGUGAAGUUAGAAAAAGAAGUAUUCAAUUCUUAAAUAAGUAAAGUGAUACUUGUGACAUAAACAAAUGUAACAACAAAAAAUAACAGAGUUGAACACACACAUAUAUCAAACAUAUUAAUUAACAUUACAUUAUGUUGUACAUUUGUUCAUUAAAUAUGAGUUAUAUUAUGUUAAGGUGUAAUUGUAGAUAACCAUACAAACAGAAGUAUACCAAGCAAAUGUACAUCUCAUAAAAUUGAGAAUGGAAAUGGGAAAUGUGUCAAAGAGACAACAACCCGAUCAUAGAGCAGACAACAGGAGAAGGUCACCAACAGGUCUUCAAUGCAACGAGAAAUUCUCGCACCCGGAGGCGUCCUUCAGCUGGCCCAUAAACAAAUAUAUACUAGUUCAGUGAUAAUGAACACCAAACUAAACUCCAAAUUGUACACAAGAAACUAAAGUUAAAAUAAUACAAGACUAACAAAGGCUGACUUGGGACAGGCGCAAAAAUGCGGCGGGUUAAACAUGUUUGUGAGAUCUCAACCCUCCCUCUAUGCCUCUAGCCAAUGCAGAAAAAGUAAAUGUAUUGAUGCAUCAUGGGAUAAAUUGUCUUACGAGGUUUAUAGACGAAUUUAGCUGAAUAUAUAUUUAUUGAUUUGCCACAAAACACCAGAUUUAAAAAAAAAAUGAACUGAAGGAUAUAUUUGGAUGAAUGCAUUUUUUUUCUUCAAAUGAAAAUGUUCUCAUAUCCUAAUGGCAUCGCCCCUUGUGUCGUCUGCAUUCACCGUAUACAUACGCUGCUACCCUUUAUGCUUUUGAUAGGGGUACAAAAAUUUCAGCUAGUCAUAUAAAUCCUGGUGUUCCAUUAAAAAAAAAAGAAAAAAUUGUGGUAUCAUAUCUUGUAUCAAUAUGUAUAACUUCUAGUAACCAAUCAAUACAUUAAAAGAAACAUAAAUUGCAUUGGAGUAUAUUUUCAAACAGUUCUAAGCAAUUAUUUAUGAGGAUCAUGAUUUCUACUUUUUUUAGAAUUUUACGUGAGAACAUGUGACAUUACCCAGGGUGUAUCAGGAACUUGUACGACAGCCAGUCAAGUGUUAGGAAUACCUGUCAGUACAGUAUGUGUAUGUGGAACCGAUGGAUGCAAUAAAGCGUAUACUACAAGAAAUGAUUAUUUGUCAACUAUUUGCUCAAUACUCGUCUCUUUUUUGUACAUUUAUACAAACUAAUUGUUUUAAACAUUUGUAUGUAUGUUUUCAUUGUUAUUAAAGUGUUGC